rnacentral:rRNA from 1 species
GACGAACGCUGGCGGCGUGCCUAAUACAUGCAAGUGGAACGCUGAAGGAGGAGCUUGCUUCUCCGGAUGAGUUGCGAACGGGUGAGUAACGCGUAGGUAACCUGCCUGGUAGCGGGGGAUAACUAUUGGAAACGAUAGCUAAUACCGCAUAACAGUAGAUGUUGCAUGACAUUUGCUUAAAAGGUGCAAUUGCAUCACUACCAGAUGGACCUGCGUUGUAUUAGCUAGUUGGUGAGGUAACGGCUCACCAAGGCGACGAUACAUAGCCGACCUGAGAGGGUGAUCGGCCACACUGGGACUGAGACACGGCCCAGACUCCUACGGGAGGCAGCAGUAGGGAAUCUUCGGCAAUGGACGGAAGUCUGACCGAGCAACGCCGCGUGAGUGAAGAAGGUUUUCGGAUCGUAAAGCUCUGUUGUAAGAGAAGAACGAGUGUGAGAGUGGAAAGUUCACACUGUGACGGUAUCUUACCAGAAAGGGACGGCUAACUACGUG